rnacentral:rRNA from 1 species
UACGGAGGGUGCAAGCGUUAUCCGGAUUCACUGGGUUUAAAGGGCGCGUAGGCGGCACCGCAAGUCGACUGUGAAAUCUCCGGGCUUAACUCGGAAAGGUCAGCCGAUACUGCGGGGCUAGAGUGCAGAAGGGGCAACUGGAAUUCUCGGUGUAGCGGUGAAAUGCGUAGAUAUCGAGCGGAACACCAGUGGCGAAGGCGAGUCCCUGGACAAUUCCUGACACUGAGGCACGAAAGCUAGGGGAGCAAACAGG